UGGGGAAUUUUGGACAAUGGGGGAAACCUUGAUCCAGCCAUCCCGCGUGUGCGAUGAAGGCCUUCGGGUUGUAAAGCACUUUUGGCAGGAAAGAAACGUCAUGGGUUAAUACCCCGUGAAACUGACGGUACCUGCAGAAUAAGCACCGGCUAACUACGUGCCAGCAGCCGCGGUAAUACGUAGGGUGCAAGCGUUAAUCGGAAUUACUGGGCGUAAAGCGUGCGCAGGCGGUUCGGAAAGAAAGAUGUGAAAUCCCAGAGCUCAACUUUGGAACUGCAUUUUUAACUACCGGGCUAGGGUGUGUCAGAGGGAGGUGGAAUUCCGCGUGUAGCAGUGAAAUGCGUAGAUAUGCGGAGGAACACCGAUGGCGAAGGCAGCCUCCUGGGAUAACACUGACGAUCAUGCACGAAAGCGUGGGGAGCAAACAGG
rnacentral:rRNA from 1 species